GGAUUUUCCGCAAUGGACGAAAGUCUGACGAGCAACGCCGCGUGAGUGAUGAUGUUUUCGGAUCGUAAAGCUCUGUGUUAGGGAAGAACAAGUGCCGUUCAAAUAGGGCGGCACCUUGACGGUACCUACCAGAAAGCACGGCUAACUACGUGCCAGCAGCCGCGGUAAUACGUAGGUGGCAAGCGUUGUCCGGAAUUAUUGGGCGUAAAGGGCUCGCAGGCGGUUUCUUAAGUCUGAUGUGAAAGCCCCCGGCUCAACCGGGGAGGGUCAUUGGAAACUGGGGAACUUGAGUGCAGAAGAGGAGAGUGGAAUUCCACGUGUAGCGGUGAAAUGCGUAGAGAUGUGGAGGAACACCAGUGGCGAAGGCGACUCUCUGGUCUGUAACUGACGCUGAGGAGCGAAAGCGUGGGGAGCGAACAGGAUUAGAUACCCUGGUAGUCCACGCCGUAAACGAUGAGUGCUAAGUGUUAGGGGGUUUCCGCCCCUUAGUGCUGCAGCUAACGCAUUAAGCACUCCGCCUGGGGAGUACGGUCGCAAGACUGAAACUCAAAGGAAUUGACGGGGGCCCGCACAAGCGGUGGAGCAUGUGGUUUAAUUCGAAGCAACGCGAAGAACCUUACCAGGUCUUGACAUCCUCUGACAAUCCUAGAGAUAGGACGUCCCCUUCGGGGGCAGAGUGACAGGUGGUGCAUGGUUGUCGUCAGCUCGUGUCGUGAGAUGUUGGGUUAAGUCCCGCAACGAGCGCAACCCUUGAUCUUAGUUGCCAGCAUUCAGUUGGGCACUCUAAGGUGACUGCCGGUGACAAACCGGAGGAAGGUGGGGAUGACGUCAAAUCAUCAUGCCCCUUAUGACCUGGGCUACACACGUGCUACAAUGGACAGAACAAAGGGCAGCGAAACCGCGAGGUUAAGCCAAUCCCACAAAUCUGUUCUCAGUUCGGAUCGCAGUCUGCAACUCGACUGCGUGAAGCUGGAAUCGCUAGUAAUCGCGGAUCAGCAUGCCGCGGAUGAUUAUA
rnacentral:rRNA from 1 species